UACAGAGGUCUCAAGCGUUGUUCGGAUUCAUUGGGCGUAAAGCGCGCGUAGGUGGCCUCAUAAGUCCGCUGUGAAAGUCAAAGGCUCAACCUUUGAAAGCCGGUGGAUACUGUGAGGCUAGAGUACGGAAGAGGCGAGUGGAAUUCCUGGUGUAGCGGUGGAAUGCGCAGAUAUCAGGAAGAACACCCGUGGCGAAGGCGGCUCUCUGGGACGGUACUGACGCUGAGACGCGAAAGCGUGGGGAGCGAACAGG
rnacentral:rRNA from 1 species